GUAAGAAAGAAAAAGUCAACUAGUUUAGGAAGCUUCUAAGUAACACUUCAGCUAUUUUUUGAAGUGACAGGUGAAAAAAGUUUAAAAAUUGACGUAGGGAUGUCAUUCUGUGAAACUCCAUGGGAUUCUUAAACAUGCAUUAUUCACAAGGGAGUGCUGAAGAGGUACUUGUCACACUUUGUGUAACGCAUAAAUUUGGAAGGAAAAGCAGACCAGGAGCUGGAGGUUUAGUACCACAGAUGUACAUGUAUAGAGAACUGUAAAAGAAUUUGGAUUGAAAAGGACUUCUGGAGGUCAUCCAGUCCAAACUGCUGCUUCAAGCAGGGCUGACUUCUAAGUUGUUAAAUCAGGUUGCUCUGGAGCUUGCUUUAUACACCACAUUUUAAAUCCAACUUACAAAGAAACCUUUUCAUCAAAACUGGAAUGCAAUUAUCAGUCUGAAAACGUUAAGCGCAGUGCCGCCCCACUGUAAGGAGUCCAUUAGGAUAAAAGCAUUCCAGAACUUUGCUGUGUGAGCAUUGAAAUGAAACGCUUGCUCUUUACCACUUUCAAUCAAACGGGCACCUGGACUCCAAGCAGUCACUUUGGCCAGGAUUCACCUCAUCUAAACGUCACCAUGUGGUCUUGCUGUGUCAUUUAGGUUACCAAUGGUUGGCAGAGAGAUACAAGUCUCUCAGGGGAGAAUUUCCUCCUGAUAGCUCCAAGGAUGAAGCGGAUGAAGGCCUCUUCACUGAAAACAGAAGCCUCAACAACAACCUACUGCGAUCUCAUGCCCAAAUUUAGGCAGCUACCUAAAAGUUGGACAAGGUGUUCUGAGUUUUGGUCAAGAUAGCUCUAGAGGUUGUGCACCGAGUCAGAAGACAGGGAAAUGAGAAGAGACCCCAAGCAAAGCAGCCUAAUCACAGGCUCAAAGCUGUUCUGCUACAUAUAGUUUAAUCAGCCCAGUGAAUGAUUUGAGCAUAGUGUUGCUGUAACUCUGCUUCUCUUUGACAUCCACACUAAUGGAAUCCACCUUAAAUGGCUUGGUAUAGUUAAAUGCAACAAUAAAACCAAAAACCUAUAAGUUAAAACAA